rnacentral:lncRNA from 1 species
CUUUGCACAAGACGGGCCAGUAAAUAUCAACAAUUGAUCAGUUAAACAAAUUUCAGUGAAUCAACUUAGAUACUUUGCACUCAGAAGGAGGAGCACGGGCCACGGCUGAUUAAAUAAAUUAGCAAAAAUCCGUAGACAUUCGAUCCCGACAAAGGUUCUAGCCUAGACAAGUUACAUCCCAACUCUGGACCACCUCACAAACUCUGAACAGAGAACGCACCAAGUGGAUUCAACCGCGCGGCGGCAAUUUACCGACUAAUCGCUAGCUGACUUAGUAAAUCAACAAUUCCAUAGCUGGGGCUAGAAACCCGGAGUAGCAGAUGAACUCGGUGGCGGCAGCAGCGGCUCGAUGGCUCAGCAACCUCUUUGAGUCAGCCAACGAUCGCCAUACAGGCAGGUUUCGAGUUAAUGGACCUCUCCAAAUUCAACUGGAGAUAGCCCGAGUCGACGGUUGGUGGAUACCAGCCGUGGUUCAUGCACAUUCUCCACACACAUAACGACAAAGUUGGAGCAGCGCCAAGCCAUUCACACUGGGAAGCUUCCAUUUAAGCCAGUCUAGCACGGAAAGUAUCUAAUCAUCUAUUCAAGAAUCUUAAGCGGAUUUUUUUUUCCACUGCCUCUAUCUCUUCGCAGUUUAGAACGCGGCCUGUCUGAAGGGCCCUGGAAUUCAACAGGUGUUCUAGUCAAUUGCAUUCCAGGCUGGAUUAUUGCUGAAAAACUGUAGAAUGUUUCAAAUGGGCGAGAAGGUGGGCAGGAAGUAAAUUGGAACUCAGAUGCUACCUUGACUGCAGUCUGAAUGAGCAGAGUCAUCAUGUAUAAUAAUUCGAUGGAAGCAAAAGAUGCACAAAAAACACUUUGGUAGAUUACAUCCCUCAGAAGAAUGCAGUGUUGGUGGCCUCAACUUACUAGGACGAACAUUUUCUUUGAAACGUUGAUAUACAGGCCGCAGUCUGCACAGGCUAUACUUCCUUAAAAGAUUGGAAAAAAGAUCAACAAAUCUCAUUAUAUCUUAGCGACAUUAAUGAAUAAACCAGUUUAGCUAAUGUAAGAUAAACGAGGCCAAGAUUCUAAGUCACUCUAAAAAAAGAUGACUCCUUUGAGAGGAGCUGUAGACACCCGAGUAGAAGACAAGUUCCUCAGAAAUCUCGGAAAGAUUAGGCAACAGGAAACGCAAUAAUGGAGAAAAGAAAAAUUUUAUGUCAUCUGCAGAUAAUAGUAUUCCACCAAAGAUGAUCUGAACACCGAUUUAAUAAGGAGGAAAGAAAGAGUCACUACUACAUAGCUGGAGCAACUCCGAGACGUCUAGACAACUCGGAGACUAUAUGUGCAGUUGGCAGUUAACAUGGUUCACUGAACUUUGUACAAUACAAAAGUAGAAGUGGAUCCCUCGGUAUCUUGAGAUAAUGAUUUUUGGCAUAGUAUGCUUGAAGCGUGUUUUGGGCUAGUGACCAUUAAAUUGUGAAACUUUCUUAGUGAUGAAACCCGCUUCAAAUAAUAACAAGUCACAUCUUCGAACCCACCCGCGAUUAAUAACAGUUAAGUCGCGGUCGAUUUUGAAGGAUUCAUCAGGUUCAUGUUCUCCCAAAAAAAUUAAGAUUACAGACGGUUCGUCUGCAGAAUGAUUACUUAAAUCAACCAAAAAGCGAAAGAGGAAAAUUCGGCAGAAGGAAACUUAUACCACUAACGAAGUUUUACCUGUCAAAAGACUCUCCUUCACCUUUACCAUGAAGAGCGGAGAAAAGGAACGCUGGUGAUUUUGACGCAACUGGUCCGUUAUGUGAAAAUUGAGAAUGGAUACCUUGAACCUGGGAGGAAUCUCGGCCGGUAGGAGGAGAAAGCACUGCGAAAGAAGGCAAUGGAACACGGGCGUGGCUGUGCGGCAAUAUCCAGCAACUUCUUACGCAAAAAGUGGGCACAACCUGACAGCUCUACUGACAACACUCACGCUGGACGCUGCAUAGGAAGCAUAAGACCAACGCAUUUGUAAUGGGCAACGCUUUGUUAUGGUCUGCACUAGAGCCUACUUCCACGCUUUCCGCAGAGAUUAGAACCAGUGUGCCGGGAGGUGACCAAAUCAGCGGAGGAGAUCUCAACGGAGCUGCUCCCUCCCUACAAAUACUAACGAGAAAGCGGGAAAGAACAGCCCGUAUACGCCUACGCCGAAGCAAAAGCUCUCCAUUUGAAGUGCUCGGAUAAGGCUACCUCAAAGACCUCCAGCAGGCGUGAACCGAGAACAACGAAUUGACUAGGACAGAGUAUCUUGAAUGUUGGAUACCUUGCGUUGAACGAAGAUACGCGGCAUCGUAAGCAUACUCAACGAAUAGAACCCGGACAUUGAUCUCAGAUACGGGAGGGGAAAGUUCAUGAAUGCUAAGAAGAAUAAAUUUGUGGCACAGCGGGAUUAGCAACAUUCGAAAUAAAUUUCGUUUAUUCGACUUUAUUCGUGUUGAUUCGACUGACGAAUGGCACUACCGGUGUUCUCCGUGGCGUAGUAGGCCUUGCUAAUUUUCAAUUGUAAAUAAAAUAAUUGAAAAUGAAAAAGAAAUAAUUGAAGAUUAUUAAGUUGCAAACCACCGACCGGGCAGGUCGUUUUAAUUUCGUGUUUUAUCUAAAAUAUCAAUUGUAAAUACAAAUUAUAAAAUAAAAUGUAUUGCUGACCCCGAAGAACUCGCCCGAUUGAUUGGAACGAGUAAAAAUCUGCAAAAUUUUUAAUUGUGCGGAAAUUUGCAAUUGCGACGAUUGUGCCCAGAUAGAGCAGGGCCAGUUUCGGGCUGCCUUUUUUGUGUGCCGCUCGUUGCGAGGACGGCAAAAGGUGGUUAAACCGUGCGCCGGAAGGAGCCAGACGCUGCACCGCGAAUGCGGCUUCGAAUGAGCGACCGUAAAGAAUUAAUUUCGUGGAACGCCGCCUUCGUGAUCGUGGCCGCCACGUAGUUGAAUUCUGCAGAGGACAUCCCGUAUCAGCGCCGACUGGAAGACACGAAAAAUUCCGUUGGUUGCCUCCGAUGUCUAGUGAUGAAAUCAUUGAUCAGUCCGUUGAGCGACCAGCCUCUAAGAAGCGGAUACUGACUUCGAUGGUGUCACCGCAGGGAGCCAGAGCCGCCGACAAGGAUCAUCCGCACACUCAGGAGCCUCAACCUCAAAAACGCUGUCAAGGCAAGCCGCCACAGGCAAAGUUUGUUUUAAUUAUAAAAUUUUGACAUGAAUUUCUAGUUAAAGCACAAA